rnacentral:SRP_RNA from 1 species
CCGUGCUAGACGGGGAGGUAGCGGUGCCCUGUACCUGCAACCCGCUAUAGCAGGGUUUAAUUCCUUGCCCCCGGCAAACUGUGUCAGGGCCGGCUCCGGCAAGAGGUGUUGACGGUUGGGUCCCGGGCGGCGCAAGCCUGUAAACCCCGUCAGGUCCGGAAGGAAGCAGCGGUAAGCAGGUUAUUGCGG